UGCGUAGGAGGCGAGCGUUUGUCCGGAAUUACUGGGCGUAAAGCGCGUGUAGGCGGUCUGAAUAGUCUGCUGUGAAAGCGCCUGGCUUAACCGGGCGAGGUCGGCGGAAACUCUCAGACUGGAGGCCGGUAGAGGGGGGGUGGAAUUCCCGGUGUAGUGGUGAAAUGCGUAGAGAUCGGGAGGAACACCUGUGGCGAAGGCGGCCCCCUGGGCCGCGCCUGACGCUGAGACGCGAAGGCUAGGGGAGCGAACGGG
rnacentral:rRNA from 1 species